rnacentral:rRNA from 1 species
CAAUAGCGUAUAUUAAAGUUGUUGCGGUUAAAAAGCUCGUAGUUGGAUUUCUGUUGAAGGACGCCGGUCCGCCUUUUGGGCGUGCAUCUGGUUGUGCUUUGGCAUCUUCUCGGAGAGCGUCACUGCGCUUCACUGCGUGGUACGUGCUGCGAGACUUUACUUUGAGGAAAUUAGAGUGUUCACGGCAGGCAAUCGCCUUGAAUAUAUUAGCAUGGAAUAAUAUUAUAGGAUCUUGGUCCUAUUUUGUUGGUUUCUAGGACUAAGAUAAUGAUAAAUAGGGAUAGUUGGGGGUAUUCGUAUUUAACUGUCAGAGGUGAAAUUCUUGGAUUUUUUAAAGACGAACAAUUGCGAAGGCAUCUACCCAGGAUGUUUUUGUUGAUCAAGAACGAAAGUUAGGGGAUCGAAGACGAUCAGAU